rnacentral:rRNA from 1 species
GAUGAACGCUGGCGGCGUGCCUAAUACAUGCAAGUCGAGCGAACAGACGAGGAGCUUGCUCCUCUGACGUUAGCGGCGGACGGGUGAGUAACACGUGGAUAACCUACCUAUAAGACUGGGAUAACUUCGGGAAACCGGAGCUAAUACCGGAUAAUAUAUUGAACCGCAUGGUUCAAUAGUGAAAGACGGUUUUGCUGUCACUUAUAGCUGGAUCCGCGCCGCAUUAGCUAGUUGGUAAGGUAACGGCUUACCAAGGCGACGAUGCGUAGCCGACCUGGGAGGGUGAUCGGCCACACUGGAACGGGGACACGGUCCAGACUACUACGGGAGGCAGCAGUAGGGAAUCUUCCGCAAUGGGCGAAAGCCUGACGGAGCAACGCCGCGGGAGUGAUGAAGGUCUUCGGAUCGUAAAACUCUGUUAUUAGGGAAGAACAAAUGUGUAAGUAACUAUGCACGUCUUGACGGUACCUAAUCAGAAAGCCACGGCUAACUACGUGC